AUUGAACGCUGGCGGCAGGCCUAACACAUGCAAGUCGAACGAGAGGCGGACGGGUGAGUAAUGUCUGGGCAACUGCCUGAUGGAGGGGGCUAACUAGUGGAAACGGUAGCUACUACCGCAUACCAUGCGUUGUGCCCAGAUGGGAUUAGCUAGUAGGUGGGGUAAAGGCUCACCUAGGCGACGAUCCCUAGCUGGUCUGAGAGGAUGAACAGCCACACUGGAACUGAGACACGGUCCAGACUCCUACGGUAGGCAGCAGUGGGGAAUAUUGGACAAUGGGCGCAAGCCUGAUGCAGCCAUGCCGCGUGUAUGAAGAAGGCCUUCGGGUUGUAAAGUACUUUCAGCGGGGAGGCGUUACCCGCAGAAGAAGCACCGGCUAACUCCGUGCCAGCAGCCGCGGUAAUAC
rnacentral:rRNA from 1 species